rnacentral:rRNA from 1 species
GACGAACGCUGGCGGCGUGCCUAAUACAUGCAAGUAGAACGCUGAAGGAGGAGCUUGCUUCUCUGGAUGAGUUGCGAACGGGUGAGUAACGCGUAGGUAACCUGCCUGGUAGCGGGGGAUAACUAUUGGAAACGAUAGCUAAUACCGCAUAAGAGUAGAUGUUGCAUGACAUUUGCUUAAAAGGUGCAAUUGCAUCACUACCAGAUGGACCUGCGUUGUAUUAGCUAGUUGGUGAGGUAACGGCUCACCAAGGCGACGAUACAUAGCCGACCUGAGAGGGUGAUCGGCCACACUGGGACUGAGACACGGCCCAGACUCCUACGGGAGGCAGCAGUAGGGAAUCUUCGGCAAUGGACGGAAGUCUGACCGAGCAACGCCGCGUGAGUGAAGAAGGUUUUCGGAUCGUAAAGCUCUGUUGUAAGAGAAGAACGAGUGUGAGAGUGGAAAGUUCACACU